GACGAACGCUGGCGGCGUGCUUAACACAUGCAAGUCGAACGGUAAGGCCCUUCGGGGUACACGAGUGGCGAACGGGUGAGUAACACGUGGGUGAUCUGCCCUGCACUUCGGGAUAAGCCUGGGAAACUGGGUCUAAUACCGGAUAGGACUCCGGACUGCAUGGUCUGGGGUGGAAAGCUUUUGCGGUGUGGAUGGGCCCGCGGCCUAUCAGUUUGUUGGUGGGGUGAUGGCCUACCAAGGCGACGACGGGUAGCCGGCCUGAGAGGGUGACCGGCCACACUGGGACUGAGAUACGGCCCAGACUCCUACGGGAGGCAGCAGUGGGGAAUAUUGCACAAUGGGCGCAAGCCUGAUGCAGCGACGCCGCGUGAGGGAUGACGGCCUUCGGGUUGUAAACCUCUUUCAGCACCGACGAAGCGCAAGUGACGGUAGGUGCAGAAGAAGGACCGGCCAACUACGUGCCAGCCGCCGCGGUAA
rnacentral:rRNA from 1 species